UGUAAAAUGUCUUGCGCUAACUAGCUAUUUCAUCCCCGAAAAGUCUCAAAAGUAAGUUAGUUAGCCAUCUUGCUUUUGCAGACCUGUCUGCAGCCAGGUGGUAGUAAACAAAAUCAAAUUGAAACUUGUUUUAUGGACAAAUAUCACUCUCGUUGCUAGGAUUAACUAGCUAGCUUUCCAUCUCGCCUUUUCUAACAUGGCCGACGGGAAACAGCAACUCAGAACAUUCCAGUGGAGCCGGCGUGUUGUUCUUAGCAAAACAUGUCACGGAAUUCCGACCAAAUUUGCAUGAGUUUUUUGACAAAGUCAACGUAUGCACGUGACAAAACAAUUGAACUACAAAAUGACUAAUUAGUAACACAGGGGAAUUUGGUCAGGGAGUAGCAUAAAUUUAGAAAUGGGUGGUGAAACCGGCGCACAAGGUCAAUCCGCAUCCGUCAAACCAUCAGCUGUCACGCGAUGUUUAACUACCCCAUCCAGCAAUAUGCAGCGCUUGACCCAGCUAACUAAUGAGCUAAAUAUGUUUUUUAACAGCUUGCAACCACUGCUAUGAGUCACGCAAGCUACAUCGACGUAAGUAAUAAACUGGCUAGCUAAGUCAUUGACAUUAGCUAGCUUGCUAACUUUUCCGGAUGGCCCAACCUGUUUUCUUCGUCUGCGUUUCCUGAUGCUGGUACUGGAAGGAGAUCUGAUCAUUUUUUAGAGAUGUUUUGUAUUGAAUGGGGUUUCUUUCUUCUCCAUGGUGGUAAUAUCGUCUCUCUUGUGCCCGAUCUUUGGGCUGUUCCUCCAUUGAAGUGUAAUAUAAUAUCCGAGCUCGUCUACCAGUAUGCACCGCUCACUGGGCAAGCGGAGAGCAGACUAUUGAACUGUCCAAUCAACGCCAGUGACAAACGGAAGAUAUUCGAGGCCUCUGUAUUCGUCAGCUGUAUAUCUAAGAAGUAUUUAACAAAUGUUGGUGGUUCCCCCAGCAACAUUGCGAAGUAGGACGGGUGGCAGUGAGCAGACUGGACGUUCUCUCACAGGAGCCACAGAGAGGUUUGGUGGUCCUGGGACCAUUGUCAUCUGUGGAACAACUUGAGUUUCUCCACCUGCCACUGGGCUUCUCAGCACAAUGCUCGGGCACGCCUCUCCAUGCCACAGUGUCCGUGUGACCUACAGCCACGCCCUGGAGGUGCUGGGGACCAGUCCGGCAGAAUACCAGCCAACCAGCAGGGAAGGCAGUUUGUAGACUCUUAGAUGUGUUCCUGGUGUAGGGAAGUCCAACAGAAUCCAACAAAACCAGAUAUGAGUCCUCAGCAGCAGAGUACCGGUCGCUGGGUGUCGAGGCAGGCUGCAGUGGCUGCAGACAUGUGGGAGAGAGUGAUGUCACGCAGUGUCCAGCGCCACAAACGCAUGCAGUGUACACGGAUGGGUGGGGAUACAACGCGAACGUCUAGCAACCCAAAGGUUGCGUGUUCGAAUCUCAUCACGGAAAACUUCAGGAAUUUAUCUUAUUAGCAACUUUGCAACAAUUUACUACUUUUUAAUAACUACUUCGCAUGUUAACUAACCCUUCCCCUAACCUUAAUCCCAAACCUUAACUUUAACCCAUAACCCCUAGCCUAGCCAACUAGCUAACGUUAGCCAAAACAAAUUGGAAUUCGUAACAUAUCAUACUAAUUUAAGUGUCACAGAUUUACAUUUACAAUAUUGGCCCAGGUUGAGUCCAGGUUGGCCCACACAAAAUUGCAUUAAGAUUGUUCAGCCUUCCUAUUGGUCAACAAAAGAUGGUCUGUCUCUGGUUGUCAAAUUGGAAGGCUGCACCCUUCCUCUCUUCCAUCAGCGUCAAUCAGAGGUGUGGUUAAGCACAAUCAUCAAUGGUAGAAAUUACACUGCCAUUACAUGGUUGCUAAAAUUCUAUCAUGUUCGCCUAAUUUCAGUUUGUGACAAAACAAGCAAAAAAUGUCUGAGAGAAAUGCUGUGUAGAGAAUCAUUGUACCAUCUAAAUUGCUGUGAAAUAUAUUUUCAAUAAUGAAAAAUAGCGUACUUUCAGCUGUUAGAAGCUGGUGUAUAAAACUGAAACUAAAAACACAGAAAUUGCCCUGCCAUUACCUGUUUGCUAAAUUCUGCAUUGUUCACCUAAUUUAAGUUUGUGACAAAACAAGCAAAAAAUGUCUGAGAGAAAUGCUGUGUAGAGAAUCAUUGUACCAUCUAAAUAUUGUUUGAAGCUGGUGGACAAAACCGAAACUAAGAGGCUCAAAAGUGGGGAGGGGAUGGGGAGUAAAUCCUGGAGGGGGAAGAGUUGUUUAGAUUCAGCAUAAGUGUUGUUGCAAUUCGUUCAGCUUCAACAAUGUUUUAUUUUUUAUAUAACCUUUAUUUAACUAGGCAAGUAAACAAGGGGGAAGCAUCUUAGAAAUAGUUCCUUUAAUGCAGGGGUUCUCAACUUUUGGGGCCGGGGACCUGUUUUGUGAUAGCAAAUUCCUCAGGGACCCCUCAUAAUCAGAACACAACAGGUGAGAUUAAAAAUAGCAUACAAGGAGUUUUACUAUGACUUCGGCAGUGCAUGGCCGGACGAACCAAGUCUCGGGCCCAGGGUAAGAACAUUGCCUCUGCAAUUCUACAGAGUUUGUCAUGUAGCAGAGAGAUGUUUUGUUGUUGUAGCAUUAAAGCUAAUAUCCUGCCAAUCUUAAAGAUGUGUGUGCUGCAAUGUUUUGUGUUUCCCCGUUGCAGGAGUCCACUGAGGAGAGGCUGAGGCAGUUACUGGAGGUCCACAGGCACCUUGGGCCCAGGUCCCAGCAUUGAUUUACAUUUACAUUACAUUUAAGUCAUUUAGCAGACGCUCUUAUCCAGAGCGACUUACAAAUUGGUGCAUUCACCUUAUGA